rnacentral:rRNA from 1 species
UGGGGCAUUUUGCACAAUGGGGGAAACCCUGAUGCAGCGACGCCGCGUGAUUUAGAAGGCCUUCGGGUUGUAAAAAUCUUUUCUAUGGGAAGAAAAUGACAGUACCAUAGGAAUAAGGACCGGCUAAUUACGUGCCAGCAGCCGCGGUAAUACGUAAGGUCCGAGCGUUGUCCGGAAUCAUUGGGCGUAAAGGGUACGUAGGCGGGUAAGCAAGUUAGAAGUGAAAUCCUAUAGCUCAACUAUAGUAAGCUUUUAAAACUGCUCAUCUUGAGGUAUGGAAGAGAAAGUGGAAUUCCUAGUGUAGCGGUGAAAUGCGCAGAUAUUAGGAGGAAUACCGGUGGCGAAGGCGACUUUCUGGCCAUAACCUGACGCUGAGGUACGACAGCGUGGGUAGCAAACAGG